AUGCGAAGCGAAGCAGCGAUGUGAAGCAAAUCGCACCAAAGCCGGUCCCAGUUCGGAUAAGAGGCUGAAACUCGCCUCCUUGAAGUCGGAAUCGCUAGUAAUCGCAGAUCAGCAUGUUGCGGUGAAUACGUUUCCUGGUCUUGUACACACCGCCCGUCAAACCAUGAGAGUCGCCAACACCCGAAGUCCGCUUUGCGGCCUAAGGUGGGGGAGAUGAUUGGGGUUAAGUCGUAACAAGGUACC
rnacentral:rRNA from 1 species